AUGAACGCUAGCUACAGGCUUAACACAUGCAAGUCGAGGGGCAGCAUUUUAGUUUGCUUGCAAACUAAAGAUGGCGACCGGCGCACGGGUGAGUAACACGUAUCCAACCUGCCGAUAACUCGGGGAUAGCCUUUCGAAAGAAAGAUUAAUAUCCGAUAGUAUAUUAAAACCGCAUGGUUUUACUAUUAAAGAAUUUCGGUUAUCGAUGGGGAUGCGUUCCAUUAGUUUGUUGGCGGGGUAACGGCCCACCAAGACUACGAUGGAUAGGGGUUCUGAGAGGAAGGUCCCCCACAUUGGAACUGAGACACGGUCCAAACUCCUACGGGAGGCAGCAGUGAGGAAUAUUGGUCAAUGGACGAGAGUCUGAACCAGCCAAGUAGCGUGAAGGAUGACUGCCCUAUGGGUUGUAAACUUCUUUUAUAUGGGAAUAAAGUAUUCCACGUGUGGAAUUUUGUAUGUACCAUAUGAAUAAGGAUCGGCUAACUCCGUGCCAGCAGCCGCGGUAAUACGGAGGAUCCGAGCGUUAUCCGGAUUUAUUGGGUUUAAAGGGAGCGUAGGUGGAUUGUUAAGUCAGUUGUGAAAGUUUGCGGCUCAACCGUAAAAUUGCAGUUGAAACUGGCAGUCUUGAGUACAGUAGAGGUGGGCGGAAUUCGUGGUGUAGCGGUGAAAUGCUUAGAUAUCACGAAGAACUCCGAUUGCGAAGGCAGCUCACUAGACUGCAACUGACACUGAUGCUCGAAAGUGUGGGUAUCAAACAGGAUUAGAUACCCUGGUAGUCCACACAGUAAACGAUGAAUACUCGCUGUUUGCGAUAUACAGUAAGCGGCCAAGCGAAAGCAUUAAGUAUUCCACCUGGGGAGUACGCCGGCAACGGUGAAACUCAAAGGAAUUGACGGGGGCCCGCACAAGCAGUGGAGUAUGUGGUUUAAUUCGAAGCAACGCGAAGAACCUUACCAGGGCUUGACAUAUAAGUGAAUAAUUAAGAGAUUAAUUAGUUCUUCGGAACACUUAUACAGGUGGUGCAUGGUUGUCGUCAGCUCGUGCCGUGAGGUGUCGGCUUAAGUGCCAUAACGAGCGCAACCCUUAUCUUUAGUUACUAACAGGUCAUGCUGAGGACUCUAGAGAGACUGCCGUCGUAAGAUGUGAGGAAGGUGGGGAUGACGUCAAAUCAGCACGGCCCUUACGUCCGGGGCUACACACGUGUUACAAUGGGGGGUACAGAAGGCAGCUACCUGGCGACAGGAUGCUAAUCCCAAAAACCUCUCUCAGUUCGGAUCGAAGUCUGCAACCCGACUUCGUGAAGCUGGAUUCGCUAGUAAUCGCGCAUCAGCCAUGGCGCGGUGAAUACGUUCCCGGGCCUUGUACACACCGCCCGUCAAGCCAUGAAAGCCGGGGGUACCUGAAGUACGUAACCGCAAGGAGCGUCCUAGGGUAAAACUGGUAAUUGGGGCU
rnacentral:rRNA from 1 species